AUUUAUAUAGUUUAAACAAAACAUUACUUUUUCAAAGUAAAAUUAGAAGUAAUCUUAUAAAUA
rnacentral:tRNA from 1 species